GGCAAGAUGGCCGAGUGGUUUAAGGCGUCGCACUUAAGUCGUUGGACUUCCAGCUUUGGUUUAAUAGACUAGACUGGUGCUUUGUUUAGCGGAAAUGCGAUCUCGUAAGAGGCGCGGGUUCGAACCCCGUUCUUGCCA